rnacentral:sRNA from 1 species
AUCCCCCAAACUAAGGGGGGAUGAGAACCACCGACCGGGGUUCGACACAAAAACGCCGGGAGCGUUUUUGAACAGAGCUUGCUCUGGCCCCGAAGGGGCGAGGCCAGGGAUGGGCUGAGUAGCGGCGCAGCCAGUUGGACAGACGACGAGCUUGCGAGGAGACUGCCCGAAGGGCGAGCGCAGCGAGUCAAUCCCCCCUCACCGCCA